rnacentral:tRNA from 1 species
CUGGACUUAGCUCAGUUUGGUAGAGCACAUGCUUUCGAUGCAUGGGAGCGUUGGUUCAAAUCCAGCAGUUCAGA